GGAGCCUGGCUGCACCUCUCUUAGACCUUAUUGAAGAGCCGACUGCUGCUGGGGAAGGAUAUUAUUAUUGUUAUUAUUAUUAUUAUUAUUAUUUUAAGAUCUCUCUUUGGUGAAGUUUUCUCCUGUGAGCCUGGAAUCUUCUGAUAUGGGCUUACCUUCCACCAUCAUAACAGAUCCUCUCUGCAAUCAACACUUGACCAGAACAUCUUGCUGUGUCCUGUUUUUGGAAUUUUACUGUUGGUCCAACUAACUUGACAUGCACAUAUGGCAAUGCUGAGUCACAGCCUGAAGCAGUGAUUGAGCACCUGGUGGUAAGGCAGAGCCAACCCAGGGGAGCUCAGGUGCAUGCAGUGCAGUGCACCUGAGUGUCUGGAAGAAGUAGAGCCAGGAUCCACCCCUUCCCAGACCUCACUUAAGGGUUGGCAGCGGAGAUGAGGGCAUCUCUUGCUGGAGAUUCCUGCCUACCUGAGGCCUUAGAAAG